GAUGAACGCUGGCGGCGUGCCUAAUACAUGCAAGUCGAACGCACUAUUUCGGUAGUGAGUGGCGAACGGGUGAGUAACACGUAGGUAACCUGCCCUUAAGACGAGGAUAACCGUUGGAAACGAUGGCUAAGACUGGAUAGGAACAUUGAAGGCAUCUUUGAUGUUUUAAAAGACCUAGCAAUAGGUAUGCUUAAGGAGGGACCUGCGGCGCAUUAGUUAGUUGGUGAGGUAGUGGCUUACCAAGACGAUGAUGCGUAGCCGGACUGAGAGGUUGAACGGCCACAUUGGGACUGAGAGACGGCCCAAACUCCUACGGGAGGCAG
rnacentral:rRNA from 1 species